rnacentral:rRNA from 1 species
UACAUAAGUGGCGAACGUUAUCCGGUUUUAUUGGGCGUAAAGGAUGCGUAGAUGGUGAAAUAAGUUAUUGGUAGAACUGAAUCAAUUUCAAGGAGCUAAUAAUACUGUUUCGCUAGAGGAUAGAAGAGGUUAAUGGAAUUUGAUGUGGAACGGUGAAAUGUGUUGAUAUAUCAAAGAACACCAAAAAAAGGCGAAGGCAGUUAACUAUUCUACUCCUGACAUUGAGGCAUGAAAGCUAGGGUAGCAAAAGG